AGGGUAUAGAAUACAAGUCUAAUAUAUAAGGGUAAAUAUUAUGCUGCUGCGUAAAAACUCUGACAUAUUGAUAUUUAUUAUAAAUUUUUUUGUACCCUAUACCU
rnacentral:SRP_RNA from 1 species